UACAGAGGGGGCAAGCGUUGUUCGGAAUUACUGGGCGUAAAGGGCGCGUAGGCGGCCUGCUAAGUCGAACGUGAAAUCCCUGGGCUCAACCCAGGAACUGCGUCCGAUACUGGUUGGCUUGAAUCCGGGAGAGGGAUGUGGAAUUCCAGGUGUAGCGGUGAAAUGCGUAGAUAUCAGGAGGAACACCAAUGGCGAAGGCAGCACUCUGGGACGUGACUGACGCUGAGACGCGAAAAGCGUGGGGAGCAAACAGG
rnacentral:rRNA from 1 species